rnacentral:other from 1 species
AAUUGCCUACCCUGUUGGUGAUGAGGAGAAAAGUUUGAUCCGGCAAAUUAGAUCUUUUGGGAGCCUGCGUAAGGAGUCGGUGUGCAUGCCCAGCAUCAAAAGCGCGGCGAUGCCUAAAGUCUUCUUCAGGGCACCCACCUAUUUUAUAGGCGGAUCUAAUCUUCCCUUACACGGCAGGGUGGGUUUAUU